UCGAGCGAACAGACGAGGAGCUUGCUCCUCUGACGUUAGCGGCGGACGGGUGAGUAACACGUGGAUAACCUACCUAUAAGACUGGGAUAACUUCGGGAAACCGGAGCUAAUACCGGAUAAUAUAUUGAACCGCAUGGUUCAAUAGUGAAAGACGGUUUUGCUGUCACUUAUAGAUGGAUCCGCGCCGCAUUAGCUAGUUGGUAAGGUAACGGCUUACCAAGGCAACGAUGCGUAGCCGACCUGAGAGGGUGAUCGGCCACACUGGAACUGAGACACGGUCCAGACUCCUACGGGAGGCAGCAGUAGGGAAUCUUCCGCAAUGGGCGAAAGCCUGACGGAGCAACGCCGCGUGAGUGAUGAAGGUCUUCGGAUCGUAAAACUCUGUUAUUAGGGAAGAACAAAUGUGUAAGUAACUAUGCACGUCUUGACGGUACCUAAUCAGAAAGCCACGGCUAACUACGUGCCAGCAGCCGCGGUAAUACGUAGGUGGCAAGCGUUAUCCGGAAUUAUUGGGCGUAAAGCGCGCGUAGGCGGUUUUUUAAGUCUGAUGUGAAAGCCCACGGCUCAACCGUGGAGGGUCAUUGGAAACUGGAAAACUUGAGUGCAGAAGAGGAAAGUGGAAUUCCAUGUGUAGCGGUGAAAUGCGCAGAGAUAUGGAGGAACACCAGUGGCGAAGGCGACUUUCUGGUCUGUAACUGACGCUGAUGUGCGAAAGCGUGGGGAUCAAACAGGAUUAGAUACCCUGGUAGUCCACGCCGUAAACGAUGAGUGCUAAGUGUUAGGGGGUUUCCGCCCCUUAGUGCUGCAGCUAACGCAUUAAGCACUCCGCCUGGGGAGUACGACCGCAAGGUUGAAACUCAAAGGAAUUGACAGGGACCCGCACAAGCGGUGGAGCAUGUGGUUUAAUUUCGAAGCAACGCGAAGAACCUUACCAAAUCUUGACAUCCUCUGACCCCUCUAGAGAUAGAGUUUUCCCCUUCGGGGGACAGAGUGACAGGUGGUGCAUGGUUUGUCGUCAGCUCGUGUCGUGAGAUGUUGGGUUAAGUCCCGCAACGAGC
rnacentral:rRNA from 1 species